UAGGGAAUCUUCCGCAAUGGACGAAAGUCUGACGGAGCAACGCCGCGUGAGUGAAGAAGGAUUUCGGUUCGUAAAACUCUGUUGUUAGGGAAGAAAAAAUGUAUAGUAACUAUAUACAAAAGAGACGGUACCUAACCAGAAAGCCACGGCUAACUACGUGCCAGCAGCCGCGGUAAUACGUAGGUGGCAAGCGUUGUCCGGAAUUAUUGGGCGUAAAGCCCGCGCAGGUGGUUUAGAAAGUCUGAUGUGAAAGCCCACGGCUCAACCGUGGAGGGUCAUUGGAAACUAAUAAACUUGAGUGCAGGAGAGAAAAGUGGAAUUCCUAGUGUAGCGAUGAAAUGCGUAGAGAUUAGGAGGAACACCGGUGGCGAAAGCGGCUUUUUGGCCUGCAACUGACACUGAGGCGCGAAAGCGUGGGGAGCAAACAGG
rnacentral:rRNA from 1 species